AGUGAACGCUGGCGGUAGGCCUAACACAUGCAAGUCGAACGGCAGCACAGUAAGAGCUUGCUCUUACGGGUGGCGAGUGGCGGACGGGUGAGGAAUACAUCGGAAUCUACUUUUUCGUGGGGGAUAACGUAGGGAAACUUACGCUAAUACCGUAUACGACCUACGGGUGAAAGCAGGGGAUCUUCGGACCUUGCGCGAUUGAAUGAGCCGAUGUCGGAUUAGCUAGUUGGCGGGGUAAAGGCCCACCAAGGCGACGAUCCGUAGCUGGUCUGAGAGGAUGAUCCGCCACAAUGGGACUGAGACACCGUCCAGACUCCUACGGGAGGCAGGAGUGGGGAAUAUUGGACAAUGGGCGCAAGCCUGAUCCAGCCAUACCGGGGGGGUGAAGAAGGCCUUCGGGUUGUAAAGCCCUUUUGUUGGGAAAGAAAAGCAGCAGGUUAAUACCCCGCUGUUCUGACGGUACCCAAAGAAUAAGCACCGGCUAACUUCGUG
rnacentral:rRNA from 1 species